CCGCCAUUUUCGGGCAUCCCUAUCCUACUCUGGUGAAUUAUGUGGGCUGUGACCUGUGUCUUUUUUGUUAACGGCUACAUCCAUAGCACCUAGAACUGCCGUGGGUCUUAACUGCGUGGAGUGGAUUAAAGAGCCAGCUUUCACAAUCUGUUCAUGCAGCCAACGACUGAUAUAACACCACCCCUUAUGACCAGAGUCUUUAGAAGAAGAAGGGCAUUUGGACACAGACACAAGAAAGGACGCUUGUGAGACUUGUGUGAGUAGGUAUUUGUCUCUCCCACAAGGUGGGACCGGAG
rnacentral:lncRNA from 1 species